rnacentral:lncRNA from 1 species
CCCCUAUGUUCUAUUUUUAGCCAUGGCGGCCAUCUUGGAUGGUUGGCCGGGUCACCGGACACAUUUUUUAAACUAGAUACCCCAAUGAUGAUUGUGGCCAAGUUUGGUUUAAUUUGGCCCAGUAGUUUCAGAGGAGAAGAUUUUUAAAGUUAACGACGACGAUGGACGACGACGGACGACGACGACGCGGACGCCAAGUGAUGAGAAAAGCUCACUUGGCCUUUUAGGCCAGGUGAGCUAAAAAAGAAGAUGUGGUAUGAUUGCCAAUGAGACAACUGUCCACAA